CCUACGGGAGGCAGCAGUGAGGAAUAUUGGUCAAUGGGCGAGAGCCUGAACCAGCCAAGUCGCGUGAGGGAUGACGGUCCUAUGGAUUGUAAACCUCUUUUGUCGGGGAACAAAGGCGUCCACGUGUGGACUGAUGAGUGUACCCGAAGAAAAAGCAUCGGCUAACUACGUGCCAGCAGCCGCGGUAAUACGUGGGGGCAAGCGUUAUCCGGAUUUACUGGGUGUAAAGGGAGCGUAGACGGCAGCACAAGUCUGGAGUGAAAUGCCGGGGCUUAACCCCGGAACUGCUUUGGAAACUGUGCAGCUAGAGUGCAGGAGAGGUAAGUGGAAUUCCUAGUGUAGCGGUGAAAUGCGUAGAUAUUAGGAGGAACACCAGUGGCGAAGGCGGCUUACUGGACUGUAACUGACGUUGAGGCUCGAAAGCGUGGGGAGCAAACAGGAUUAGAUACCCGGGUAGUC
rnacentral:rRNA from 1 species